CCUACGGGCGGCAGCAGUGAGGAAUAUUGGUCAAUGGACGAGAGUCUGAACCAGCCAAGUAGCGUGAAGGAUGACUGCCCUAUGGGUUGUAAACUUCUUUUAUAUGGGAAUAAAAUGUUCCACGUGUGGGAUUUUGUAUGUACCAUAUGAAUAAGGAUCGGCUAACUCCGUGCCAGCAGCCGUGGUAAUACGGAGGAUCCGAGCGUUAUCCGGAUUUAUUGGGUUUAAAGGGAGCGUAGGUGGAUUGUUAAGUCAGUUGUGAAAGUUUGCGGCGCAACCGUAAAAUUGCAGUUGAAACUGGCAGUCUUGAGUACAGUAGAGGUGGGCGGAAUGCGGGGUGUAGCGGUGAAAUGCUUAGAUAUCACGAAGAACUCCGAUUGCGAAGGCAGUUCACUGGACUGCAACUGACACUGAGGCUCGAAAGUGUGGGUAUCAAACAGGAUUAGAUACCCUAGUAGUC
rnacentral:rRNA from 1 species